rnacentral:lncRNA from 1 species
CAACCUUCACCCUUAUCUGAAGCAAUAGCGUAACAUUACAACAUAAAAAGAAGCACUAUAAAAAUAUAUCAAAUGAAAUGGCUUAACUCAAUCAAAAUACAUAUUAACACAAGUGAACAUUUACUGAACAAAUAGAUUUGAUCUUUGGUACAAAAUGUCUUUUUGUGGACUGUUACAUUGUAAACUAGUAUGUUAAACGCCCGGCUAUAGGUGUGUUGGUCCUAUCAUGGAAGUAAUUAAAUAUUACUUCCAUGGUCUU